CAUCUCUCUUUUAUUUAUUUAAUACAUACGUUAAGUAACAGAAUUCUGAGCUCAUUGUCAAGCUGAGAAAGAGUUUGUGCAGUAUUGUACCGGGUACUAUGGAUUAGGGGCAGUGAUGUGCUGAUAAACCAGCUCUCUAAAAAAGUGAAAUAAUAAUAACAACAAUAACAGUAAAUAAUAAUAAUAGUACAAUCCUGAUUUGUAGCAUUUUUCAAUGUCCAUGGCCUAAGUACUCCCACUAUGGCCAAUCUCAAGGUGCCACUGUGACAUCAGCAAAAGUGCAAUUGGGAACAGAGGUGUUGAGAGGAGAUGAUAAACAAUCAACUCUUCAAAGCCAGUGAGAGUCCCUGGCUUCUGAUGGGCCUCUGACAUUUGUUCUGACAUCUGGGAAAAUGAAAAAUUCAACGUUGCCAGUGAGGACACACUGAGAAGGCAGCCAGCCAUCUGCAAGCCAGGAGAAGUGUUCUCAACAGAAACCAAAUUGUCCAGAACUUUGAUCUUGGACUUUCAGCUUCCAAAACUAAGGAGAAAAUUGAUGCAUAAAGAAUUGGAGUAUUUACUAUCUCAAUAAAUACUUAUCUGGAAUUAAGGUAAGUAUUUGAAAUAAUAUUUAAAAUAUAUAGACAUUUAUGGCUUAACAAGGUCUUAAUGAAUCAAAUACAGUGAGAACUAUUUUCUACAUUAUUAUAAAAAUAAGGAAAUAUUGUUAAAAUAUCAAAACUAAUAGAAAUUUAUUAGCAAUCCUUAUUCUUGAGUUUUUCUGAACCAACCAGUAAUUUUCCCAAAGGGCCUUCCAUUGCCCCUUGGAUUAAAGAAACUAAUCAUAAUCUCUUCCUGAAAAAUAAUUCCAAGACCAACUGUAAGUCAUAUAGCUUUGUGUUUUCCUUAUACUUGCCUUCUUUCCAGAGUCAAGAAUCAGAAAUAUUGGUAUAGGUAGAAUUUGGUCAAGCUCAUGAAGACAAACCUACUUAAAGAGAAUGAGAAUUAAGUAUAUAUACACACAAAGUGUAACACAUGAUAAAUGAUAUUUUAAGUGUUAAGCCUACCAAAAUUAUUAUUUUUCUCUUUCCCAUAUAAUCACAAUUUUGUGAUUAUUUAAUGCAUUAACAUAAAUAAACUGAUUUAAUGGAGAUUCCUUUAUUUAGAAUAAUUUUUCAUGUAUUUCAAAGGUUAUUAUCAUCAUUGAGAUAUUGAUGCAGCUACCAUCCAGUUAUGUUCAACUGGAUGUAUUUCUGCUGCACCCCUACACACACCCCCACAUUAAAAGCCCUUUGGAAUGAGAGGCAUUUGUCACUAAGGUAACUCAGUUCUCAUAACUGAAAAUCUAAGUAAAUGGAGUUUACAAUGCAGAGUGGUGAAACAUGCAUAUAAUAAUUAUACUUAAUUUCUUAUGAAACUAGGUUUCUCUCUCUCUCUCUCUCUCUCUCUGGUUUACAAAAGAAAGCAACAGGAUCCAUAGUGCCAAGUAUUUAAAAGCUGAGUACUGAAAUAUAUAUUAAGGCAUUUUUAGAAGAUUUUAUUUAUUUAUUU
rnacentral:lncRNA from 1 species